GACGAACGCUGGCGGCGUGCCUAACACAUGCAAGUCGAGCGGAGUUAAUAUGGUAGCUUGCUAUUGUAUUAACUUAGCGGCGGACGGGUGAGUAACGCGUGAGCAACCUGCCUUAUACAGGGGGAUAACACAUCGAAAGAUGUGCUAAUACCGCAUAAUAUACUUUUGCCGCAUGGUGGAAGUAUCAAAGGAGGAAUCCGGUAUAAGAUGGGCUCGCGUCUGAUUAGCUAGUUGGUAGGGUAAUGGCCUACCAAGGCGACGAUCAGUAGCCGACCUGAGAGGGUGAUCGGCCACAUUGGGACUGAGACACGGCCCAGACUCCUACGGGAGGCAGCAGUGGGGGAUAUUGCGCAAUGGGGGAAACCCUGACGCAGCGACGCCGCGUGAAGGAAGAAGGCCUUCGGGUCGUAAACUUUUGUCUUCUGGGACGAAUUUUGACGGUACCAGAGGAGGAAGCCACGGCCAACUACGUGCCAGCAGCCGCGGUAAUACGUAGGUGGCGAGCGUUGUCCGGAAUUACUGGGUGUAAAGGGCGCGUAGGCGGGGCAGCAAGUCAGAUGUGAAAUACCGGGGCUCAACCCCGGGGCUGCAUUUGAAACUGUAGCUCUUGAGUGCAGGAGAGGAAAGCGGAAUUCCUAGUGUAGCGGUGAAAUGCGUAGAGAUUAGGAGGAACACCAGUGGCGAAGGCGGCUUUCUGGACUGUAACUGACGCUGAGGCGCGAAAGCGUGGGGGAGCAAACAGGAUUAGAUACCCUGGUAGUCCACGCCGUAAACGAUGGAUACUAGGUGUUGGAGGUAUCGACCCCUUCAGUGCCGGAGUUAACACAAUAAGUAUCCCACCUGGGGAGUACGGCCGCAAGGUUGAAACUCAAGGAAUUGACGGGGGCCCGCACAAGCAGUGGAGUAUGUGGUUUAAUUCGAAGCAACGCGAAGACCUUACCAGGGCUUGAC
rnacentral:rRNA from 1 species